GUCUGCGUUUUUAUUGGCGCAAAACCACCAACACUUGCGUGACGUCACACGAGAGGGAAUUUUCAAAAACUGACGAAGCUCAUCGAACUUACGGGGAAAGAUAAACAAAGGCAACAUUAAAAAUGCAAAGACCUGCAAAGGGCAAAACUCCACGGAGGCCACCCCUGAAGAAAACAUCCCACACACAAAAAGACCCAGUUGGUGUGUACUGCCGUAUCCGCCCUUUAGGAGCUACAGAUGAGGAGUGUUGUAUUGAAAUGAUCAGCAGCAGCACCAUUCAGCUGCAUGCUCCUGAUGGCAUCAAAGCCAACCGCAAUGGGGAAUACAAAGAGGUACAG